UACGUAGGUGGCGAGCGUUGUCCGGAUUUACUGGGCGUAAAGAGCGCGCAGGCGGCUGGUCAAGUCCGAUGUGAAAGCUCCCGGCUUAACUGGGAAAUUGCAUCGGAAACUGAUCGGCUGGAAGGUGGGAGAGGGUAGCGGAAUUCCCGGUGUAGUGGUGAAAUGCGUAGAUAUCGGGAGGAACACCAGUGGCGAAGGCGACUACCUGGCCUGUUCUUGACGCUGAGGCGCGAAAGCUAGGGGAGCAAACAGG
rnacentral:rRNA from 1 species